UUACGUUGUGGAUAUCUAUGGGCUUCA
rnacentral:sRNA from 1 species